rnacentral:lncRNA from 1 species
AGGGACAGUUACCGGGGGAACGGGUAGCUCUGGGACGGUGACCGGAGGAACGGGUAGCUUGGGAACGGUCACUGGAGGAACUGGUAGCUUAGGUACGGUCACCGGAGGAACCGGUAGCUUAGGUACAGUCACUGGAGGAACGGGUAGCUUAGGUACGGUCACCGGAGGAACCGGUAGCUUGGGUACAGUCACUGGAGGAACGGGUAGCUUAGGUACAGUCACUGGAGGAACCGGUAGCUUAGGGACGGUCACCGGAGGAACUGGUAGUUUGGGAAUGUGUACUGGGGGUUUAGGGGAGGGCUUUCCACCCUUCCUGGGGUUACAUGAACCGCAUGAGAGGGAAUGUUG